rnacentral:rRNA from 1 species
GAUGAACGCUGGCGGCGUGCCUAAUACAUGCAAGUCGAGCGAACAGACGAGGAGCUUGCUCCUCUGACGUUAGCGGCGCACGGGUGAGUAACACGUGGAUAACCUACUUAUAAGACUGGGAUAACUUCGGGAAACCGGCGCUAAUACCGGAUAAUAUAUUGAACCGCAUGGUGCAAUAGUGAAUGACGGUUUUGCUGUCACUUAUAGAUGGAUCCGCGCCGCAUUGGCUAGUUGGUAAGGUAACGGCUUACCAAGGCAACGAUGCGUAGCCGACCGGAGAGGGUGAUCGGCCACCCUGGAACUGAGACGCGGUCCAGACUCCUACGGGAGGCAGCAGUAGGGAAUCUGCCGCAAUGGGCGAAAGCCUGACGGAGCAACGCCACGUGAGUGAUGAAGGUCUUCGGAUCGUAAAACUCUGUUAUUAGGGAAGAACAAAUGUGUAAGUAACUAUGCACGUCUUGACGGUACCUAAUCAGAAAGCCACGGCUAACUACGUG